rnacentral:lncRNA from 1 species
UUUUUUUUUGUUGUUGUUGUUUGUUUAAACCUUCCUAGAAAGUUUAUAGGACCAACAGUCAUUAAUAGGUAGAAGGUGAGCUGCCAUACAAAAAAUUCCUUCCAUUGAGAGCAGUUCAUCUGUAAAUGCCUUCAUUAAUUUUCCAGCUCUGAAUACUUUUGUUCCUAUUUUGGGGCACUGCAGCUUGAAUUACUGUUUAUUAAUCGUACUAUAUUUCAGCUCAGCCUAAAAUUUGGGUACAUGUGAGUUAUUCAACCCUGCUAGGAUUAUCAGUCCUAAAAACAAUGCCAAAUUCUUCUGUCCUGCAUUGCAAACACACAAAAAAUAAGGCUGGAAAAAUGUGCAAAACAACUAGUUGGUUCAUCCCUGUGCUCAAAGAGAGGAUCAACUGUACCUGUGGUAUCCCAGACAGGCACUUCUGUUACCACUCUAAGAAAUAAAUACUAAAACCAAUUUUACUAACUCUCUGGACAUGCCCUUACAAGGCAUUACUAACUUUGCUAUUAAAAAGUUGUCCAAGUGACUAAGCAAUCCCUCUCCUGACAAAGCAAGCCAAAAAUAGCUUUUUUUAUUGUUGUUGUCGUCCAGUAAAGAGAUGGAGGUGCAGGAACCACCGAGGUUUCUGAGGGCUGGCACAUCUCCUCUCAAUCUUCCCUUCUCUUGUCUGCUCUUGUUUACGUGACAGGCACAAAAAUGGUCUUGCUCCACUAACAGGAGUGAAAAUAAUUUCAGUUUCAACACAAACAGUCCAACAACAAUUAUUUGAACAUUGUCUUUGCAGAGCACUUAUGUGAUUUUCAUCUUAAACAGCAAUGAUGAUUAAAAGCUCUUUGGCCUUUUGUUUACUCUAUGGAUGCUCUCAAAGCAAUGUGGUUGAUUCAAAUGUCUUGUCAGGUUGUACCUCUCCUGGUGCCUUCCAGUCUUUUCAUUGCCUGCACUGCUAUGUAACAACAUGAGAAUUAUCAGACCAAAGUUUCACCUGCUCAAGCCUUCAACACUGCCGUAAGCAAAAACCUGAUUUCAUUUCAUACAACUUAUUCUUUAUGAAAGUUGUGACAUAUGAAAAGCAUGUAUACAAAAUUUUCUUAAGUAAAAUAUAUUUCAUUGCUGGAGUUUGGGUUGGUCCUCCCCUCCCCUAAUUUGGGGCUGAAAAGGCAAGUCUAAAACCAUGGAAAUAAAAAAAGCACAGGGACACAUGUAAGAAUAAUUCCCCACACACUUCCCCAGCUUCCAGCCAUUUUCAGUUCAAGGGCUUCUCAGGAUGCGGUUUCUAUAUAUUUUCCAACAUCCCCUUGAACCCAUGUCGACUUUUACUGCACAACAAUGCUUUUUGGCAGGGAGCUCCAUCAAUAGUGUAGAGAAGCACCUCCUUCCAUCUCUUCUGCAGAUGAAACAAGUUGCUAGUCCUUAUACCAUGGGUUUUUUCUUUAAACUGACAUGAUAGGUGCUGUUUCAAGUACUGCUCUG